rnacentral:rRNA from 1 species
GACGAACGCUGGCGGCGUGCUUAACACAUGCAAGUCGAACGGCAAGGCCCUGCUUUUGUGGGGUGCUCGAGUGGCGAACGGGUGAGUAACACGUGAGUAACCUGCCCUUGACUUUGGGAUAACUUCAGGAAACUGGGGCUAAUACCGGAUAGGAGCUCCUGCUGCAUGGUGGGGGUUGGAAAGUUUCGGCGGUUGGGGAUGGACUCGCGGCUUAUCAGCUUGUUGGUGGGGUAGUGGCUUACCAAGGCUUUGACGGGUAGCCGGCCUGAGAGGGUGACCGGCCACAUUGGGACUGAGAUACGGCCCAGACUCCUACGGGGGGCAGCAGUGGGGAAUAUUGCACAAUGGGCGGAAGCCUGAUGCAGAAACGCCGCGGGCGGGAUGACGGCCUUCGGGUUGUAAACCGCUUUCGCCUGUGACGAAGCGUGAGUGACGGUAAUGGGUAAAGAAGCACCGGCUAACUACGUG